rnacentral:lncRNA from 1 species
CCCCUCCCCCGGCGCCCCCGCCCCGGCCGCGCGGCCCCCAACUGCCGCCCGCCCGCCGGCAGGGAGCGGCUCCCAUCGCCGCCCAGGCGUUAGCGAAAAUCGCGCGCACAGAGAGGAGCUUUCUCCUCUGCUAAAAAUAGGCUAUAAAGGAGUCGGCCUCAUGAUGGCUCCUUGAUUCAAUUUGCUGCAAAUUCUUUCCUGAAAGCCUUCCCCGCCUCACAUCCACACGCACAAAAAGGGGGGUGUCGAGGCACGAAGGGCGCGAGAGGGGGAGCAGGCCGAGGUGCACAUUUUCGGGAGACAACAACAACAUAAUUAGGGUGAAUGCUUUGAAAAGUGGCCAAAAGCAAAGAGAAGACAAGAGUCCCUCAAGGUUGAGGAAGAUGGUGGUCUUUGGCUUCUCUCCAAGUAGUGGCACACUUGCUCAGCCCCUGUGAGAGAAGGAGAGGAGUCACUUUGUGGUGUGCCUAGAGAGGCUGGAUAUUACACUCUGGAGCUCUCAGCCCUGGCAAAGACGCCUGUGCCGAGCUUGGCAGGAGUCAGCAGAGCUGCCUGACCUUAAGUGAUCCGAAGAGCUUGGAUGCUGAGCACAUGCAUGGUGAUUAGUAUGAACUGAAAACAAGCGGACUCCAUCUAAGUGACAUGCUCUGGAGAGAAAAAGUAAAGGCAGAGAUGUCCCAAUUCGCUCAGUUUCCAUUAACUUUAAGCAGAAGUUUUGCCUGUGGAAAGAAGAUAUUCUGAUGGCACAGAGACUGAGGAGAUUAAAUGGCUUUCACAUCACCGUGCAAGAUGUCACUCAAUGAAUAUCUUGAUAACCUGAUUUCCAGAGCCACAUGAGCUGUA